rnacentral:rRNA from 1 species
AUGUUGCGAACUGGGGUCAUCGUUCCUAGCUCCAGUCCGUUUGCCUCACCUAUUAUUAUGCUCAAGAAAAAAGAUGGCUCGUGGCGGUUGUGUGUGGAUUAUCGUCAUCUUAAUUUGUUGACACUCAAGUCCAAAUACCCACUACCAGUGAUCGACGAGCUUCUGGAUGAGCUCACCUGGUUUUCAAAGCUGGAUCUUCGUGCCGGAUAUCAUCAGAUCAGGCUUGCGCCAGGUGAGGAGUAUAAGACAACUUUUCGCACACACAACGGGCACUAUGAAUUUACAGUCCUGGCAUUUGGACUGAUUGGAAGGCCAUGUACAUUCCAAUCUGUUAUGAAUGAUGAUUUAGCUCCAGUGCUUCGUGAACCAGAUAAAUGUGUUGUGGUAUUCUUUGAUGAUAUCCUAGUAUUUAGUAUUACAUUGGAGGACCACUUGCGCCAUUUGAAGCAAGUGCUGGACCUGUUGCAGGAGCACCAAUGGAAAAUCAAAGGGUCUAAAUGUGCGUUUGCACAAUGCAACAUUUCUUAUCUGGGCCAUGUGGUGUCUGAGGAAGACGUAGCUACUGACCCUGCUAAGAUUGAGGUGGUAGUCAAUUGGCCUGUACCUGCUAAUUUGAAGGAACUCCGUGGUUUUUUGGGGCUAUCUGGCUACUACCGGGAGUUUGUUUGCCACUAUGGUAUGAUCAGCCAGCCCCUGACUCAUCUCCUGCGUAAAAUAUUCCAUUUGUGUGGUCUUCUGAAGCUCAGUCUGCAUUUGAUCAACUGA